GCGAGGGUGGCGGAACUGGUAGACGCGCUGGAUUUAGGAUCCAGUGCCUUCGGGCAUGGGGGUUCGAGUCCCCCCCUUCGCACCA
rnacentral:tRNA from 1 species